UUUGCAAACAACCCAUGUAAUACAUAAGGGAAAGAGAUACAUAGUUGGCUUACAAAUGCUACUUCACAUAAUACAUGAAUAAAGCAUUACAUCAUCCAAAUAAAAUCAAGGUCCGACUACGGAACCAAAAUAAAAGAAGACUACCCCAAAAGCUACACAGAUCCCCGAUCGACCCCAACUGGGCUCCACUACUGAUCAACUAGAACGAAACAACACAAAGGACAAGAUCUUCAUCGAGCUCCUCCUGAGCUUGGUUGCGUCACCUGCUCGGUCUCAUCGGCACCUGCAAGCUGGUUUUGGAAGUAUCUGUGAGUCAUGGGGACUCAGCAAUCUCACACCCUCGCGAUCAAGACUAUUUAAGCUUAUAGGAAGGGUAAAAGGUAUGAGGUGGAGCUGCAGCAAGCGACUAGCAUAUAUGGUGGCUAACAUACGCAAAAGAGAGCGAGAAGAGGAGGCAAAAGCACGGUCGAGAAACUAUGAUCAAGAAGUGAUCCUAGAACAACCUACGUCAAGCAUAACUCCAACACCAUGUUCACUUCCCGGACUCCGCCGAGAAGAGACCGUCACGGUUACACACACGGUUGAUGUAUUUUAAUUAAGGUCAACUUCAAGUUUUCUACAACCAGACGUUAACAAAUUCCCAUCUGCCCAUAACCGCGGGCACGACUUUCAAAAGUUCAGAUCCCUGCAGGGGAGUCCCAACUUAGCCCAUGACAAGCUCUCACGGUCAACGAAGGAUAUUCCUUCUAGCGGGAAGACCCGAUCAGACUCAGAAUCCCGGUUACAAGACAUUUCGACAAUGGUAAAACAAGACCAACAAAGCCGCCCGAUACGCCGACAAAUCUUGAUAGGAGUUGCACAUAUCUCGUUCUCAGGGCGCACCGGAUAGGUCAAGCUACGAGUAAAACCAACCCUCGAGUUGCCCCGAGGUGGCCCCGCAGGCUGCCCAUUUCGGACCAACACUCAGAGGAGCACUGGCCUGGGGGGGUUUAAAAUAAAGAUGACCCUUGAGUCCGCGAAACCCAAGGGAAAAGAGGCUAGGUGGCGAAUGGUAAAACCAAUGUUGGGCAUUGCUGGAGGAGUUUUAUUCAAGGCGAACUGUCAAGGGGUUCCCAUUAUCACCCAACCGCGUAAGGAACGCAAAAUCCGGGAACAUAACACCGAUAUGACAGAAACUAGGGCGGCAAGAGUGGAACAAAACACUAGGCAUAAGGCCGAGCCUUCCACCCUUUACCAAGUAUAUAGAUGCAUUAAUUAAAUAAGAGAUAUUGUGAUAUCCCAACAAAAUAUCCAUGUUCCAAACAUGGAACAAGCUCCAAUCUUCACCUACAACUAACAACGCUAUAAGAGGGGCUGAGCAAAGCGAUAACAUAGCCAAACAACGGUUUGCUAGGACAAGGUGGGUUAGAGGCUUGGUUCAACAUAUGGGAGGCAUGAUAAGCAAGUGGUAGGCAUCGCAGCAUAGGCAUAGCAAAAGAGCGAGCAACUAGCAAGCAAAGAUAGAAGUGAUUUCGAGGGUAUGGUCAUCUUGCCUGAAAUCCCACAAGGAAGAAGAACGAGUCCAUGAAGAAGACAAACGAACGUAGCCAACAGAUCCUCACAAACGCAACGUUACCGGAUUACCGAGAAGAAGUAUACCGGAAAGAAAGCAAACAACAUAGUAAACAACCACCACAUAAACAUGGCAUGAUGCACAAUCAAGUAUGAUGCAUGUCCGGUUUAAAUAUGCAUGGCAUGGCAAAGUGCACAACCAAACCUACAAAUUAAGUGGAGGUCAAUAUGCAACUCCGUUGCAUAUUGACGAAACACCACGUUCAAGUUAUUUAGUUCGAUCUCGUUUAUGUACCCAACAAUAUUAAAUGUUGUUAAACAUGGCAAGAGGGUGAAGCAAAGCAAAACUACCUAUCUAGUCAAGUUUAAAUGAGGCCGAGAAUAACAAACAACAAAUCCGGAAACUCCUCAUGUGCAUACAUUAGGUUUGGUACUAUUCUGCCCUAAACACAUUUUUACAGUUAUUAAACAUGCAAGAAAAGUGCACCAUGUUAAAAUAGGCAAUUUUCUACCCCAUUUACAUAUAAAGUUUGUUAAAACGGAGCUACGGUUAUUUAAUUAUGGAAUAAAUCAUUGUUAACAAGUUAUUUGAGAAAAUUUAAACAAACAACAUUUUGAGCAUUUCAAACAUGGAUGAAAGUGGCAUAUUAUUAAUCUACACAAAAUUCUAAGCAUUUUUCAUAUAUAAAGUUUUUACAAAAGAUGCACGGUUUGUGAGUUAAUAAAUGCAUGUUGCUGAGGGACUUUUCUGCAAAACUGUGUUCUCUUGAAAAAAGCUAAAACACAGAACCUAAAAAAACUACACGGGCCGGAUCUGGAACAGGGACCGAAAUAGGUGGAUCUGGGCUGCUCACGUUGGUCCACAUGGCCUGAAACGGAGAAGGCCUGUCGCUGGGCCUUGCGGGAGGAGGUUGGCGCUGCACUGCGCUGUGUUGACCACGCGGAAUCGAAGCAGAUGAACGUGCUUCGCUCGAUGCAGAGGAACAGGCAGCAGGAACCGGCCUAGGCGAGUCGACAGGUUUAGCAGAGCGUAGGGGUCGCAGGUCAACAGAAGAGGCGCUCGGCUGGGUCAACGCCGGCGCGAGGCAGAGUUGGACUUGGUACGACGGUUCCAGGGACUCGGCGGGGCUCCAGGAUGGUGAGGCGGCGGAUCCGGGCAGUCGAGGUGUGGCGGCGCUGCAGUUCGUGAGGCAGGCGCACGGGCGGAGCUGGAGGCCAUGGCGGCGGCGGCCGAAGCACCAACGGCGGCGAGGACGAAGCAGGGGCGACCCGAGGUCGCAGGUGAUCCGGGCAGUGCAGGGGCUUGCAGCUCGGCGCGGUGCUCACCCAUCCAGGGCGGCGGCGUCCUGGUGGCUUCCUGUAGAGAGAGGCGAGAGGGAGUAGAUGGUGAGGAGUGAGGACGGGGAAGAAGAGAAAGGAGGGAGCACGGGGAGCAGGGAGAGGGCAACGGCCUGGCGGUGGCGCUGGUCUCCUGCGGUGCACGGGGAAGCCGAUGCACGGAGCUUGGUGGCAAGGACGAUGCAGGGGUGCGCGCGAGGUACUCGUUGUCCUGCUCGAUCAGGAGCGAAACAGGGAGGUGGCGCGACUGGCCUGGUUCGGCCGCUCGGUGUUCGUGUUCCAUUCGGGAUCGUGCCGAGGAGGGAGAGGAGGCACGGAGGCAGAUCGGGAGGAGGGAGUGGCUGGUUGCGUGCGGGUGGAAAUUGGGCGGCGCAGAAAAACAGGGAGGUGGUCGUAGGCUGAUUGGAGAGGUGGAUCUGGGAUGAUCCCGAGGGGAACCAGAGAGAGUGGCGGCGGAGGGAUUCGGAGGAUGGGACAGGAUAGGCUAGGGUUUGAUCUGAUAUUUAUAUCAGAUGAGUUUUGGGUUAGGGUCUAACUUGUCCCUCCAAUCGCAAUCGGACGAUCGCGAAAAAAUAUAUUAGGAAGUCCAAUAAACAAAACAGAGACGUUUUGUAUAUGUUUGGGGAUGAUCUGGACACGACGGUAGAGACAGUGCGGGUCGGGUCCGGGACAGCUUUCGGACGCGCGCGAGGAGGGCCGUGGGCUGACGAGAGAGGUUAGGUUGGACAUGGCGGUAGGUAGUGGGCUGUGUAGACGUUCUCGAGCUGAGAGAAGAGAAGAGAGGGAGGCCCGAUGACUGUUUCCGGAGACCGAAAACGUCCGACGUUAGACCGGCUAUACUGCCGCUAUAGUUAACCGUUGGGGCGUCAAACAAACUCCGAAUGCGACGAAAAUUGACAGGCGGCCUACCUACAACAGAAAAACACCGCACGCCCACUUUCAUCCCAUCCUGAGAACAUUUUCCGGCAACUUAUAAAAUAAUAUUACGGACAUGCCACGGGCGCGUGCGAGUGUGUUUGGGCUCAGAAUGGGCAACAGAAGGAACUAGGGAAACCCGGACGGAUGCAGGUUUUGAAAACAUGAUGAUGCAAUGCACAUGAUGACAUGACAAGACGCAACACACAAGCGAAUGACAUGGCAACAGCAUCGAAUAACUGGCAGACACCUGGCGCAACGGUCUCGGGGCGUCACAACACUCCACCACUACAAGAGGAUCUCGUCCCGAGAUCUAGAAUGGCACCGGAGGGGAAAACGGAAGAGAAAGAGAAGAGGUAAAACUAAGUUGCUUCUUUGACAAACGAGUGAAACCAAAGAACCUUGAGAGGUUGAACAAAUUCGAGAAAAGAAUACAACGAAGGUGAACAAGGUCGAAAACACUCCGUUAGAAAAGAGGUACAAAGAACAUUGUGAAAAAACCUUGAGGUUGAAGGGCAAGAUAUAUAUUGAAACCACUCCAGUUAAGUCAAGAUAGAGAAGGAUUAAGAAUGAUAUAAUUUGGACAACACUCUGUCUGAGAAGGGACGCAAAACUUGAUAAGAUGAGAGAGCUUGAAAAGAGGGCACGACACUCCGGUAAAAUGAAUAACACCAUGAUCCUGACAAGAUGAGAGAGCUUGAAAAGACCAUGAUCCUGACAAGAACAAGAAGAAGGUUUGAAGAUAGCAACAUCACAAUGCCUCCGGAAGAAGUGAGAGAAUGGAACUGAAUGAACAGGGGAGAAAAACAAGGUCUAGAGAGAGCACGCUUACACCAAAAGCUAGAACAAAGUUGUUGGGUUAUCAACAACGAAAAGGAUAAGCUUGAUAUGGACUUAUAGAAUACAUCUCAAAAUUAUGAGGUGACAACUUGCCACUCACGGAAAAGAUUUGAUUGGAUUGAUAUACACAAGGAGAUGAGAAACUAUUUCGCUGAGAGGAUAAAAUAAGAACUUUGGAUCAUUUAUAAGAACCAUAAAAGCAACAAUCCUUAGGACGGCUUUAGGUGAAAUAUAACCCAAGAUAAUACCAAUGAAGAGAUUGAUGGAUUUAAAAUAUGUUUUUCUUAACAACAUGUGAAUCAUGGAACAUGAACUCAAAUUAUCAAGAAUGACAUAAUACCACCUCUAAUGAUACGGUAGAACGAAUUGCACUCCGGAUUGCAAGAUGAAGAAUGGUUGAGCUCCUCUGAAAAGAAUCUUAAAGAACACUGCGAGAAGGAAAUUAAAUCCUUGAUGAACCAUCAUGUAGAACCUUCAUGAAGCACUCCGGUAAACAAAAAGAAUAAUGAAAAUAAAGAGAAGUAGGAAACACAAGGUGAAACCUUGUAAUGAUUUAGAUGGAUAUCCGUGUCAAUUAGAGCUUGGAACUCCGGGAAAGAAAGAAGAGCACUUGAAACCAAGAAUUUAAUCAUCGUGAACAAACUCCGGAAGAAAAGAUUAACAUAUGGAUGAAACAAGAAUAAGAAUUACAUUAUGCUUAUCCUUCACCAAUUAAAUUGAUGACAAUCAACGGAUUUGGCGUAUUACUUCUUCCCGUUGAAAGGAUUAAGAGAUAUAGCGCAAACUUGAGAAGGUCUUCAACGAACCACCGGUAGGAUCGAAACAAUGAAUGAAUUGGUAUGAUAAAGAAGGAAGAGAAAUCUUAAACGAACCACCGUAAGGAUUGAAAAAGAACGAAUAAAAGAUAACGAAUCACCGGGAAGAAUUAUGAAAUGAACGAAGAUACUUGAGAAAAUUUAGAUACAAGAGGACGAAUAGUUCACGAACUGAUUAGAGAAUACUUGACUGAUGCACCGGUAAGAUUUGGAGAACAAUGGCUGAAAGCUGAGAAUGAACAAGUCUUCUGAAAUGAUGAGCUCCGGAUAAUCAAACUGAAAAGACUCCUCAAUAUCUCCUGAUGGGUGAAAAGGAUUCUCACAAUCGAAAAUAAUUAUGAGAGGAUGGCAACAAGCUAGCACCACGAAUCUCUAAGAGAACGGAUAAGAUAUGGAGGUAAAACUCUUCUUCGGUUUUCAAAUGAUGAGAAAGACGAUGAGAAACACCACCUUGAAUUAUUGAGACACUCUGGAAUAAAGAAGAAUAGAAAAGUUGAACCAAUGAUGAAAAGAAAUGAAAGAUCUUGGAGAAAGACAUUUGACUGAUGAUAAUUCAUUCUUACAUCAAACUUUAGAAGAUUUGAGAAUAACUCAGGGAGAAUAAGAAGAGUCAGGUAAGAUCCUGGGAAAAGACCUGUGGGUUAGGGCCCACUGAAAAGACACACCGUAGAACGAUUUCAAAGAGAGAUUGCACCGGUUGAAUUUAAAUGGCUUGAAAGAGAUAACAUCCUUGAAAGAGCUUGAACGAAAGCAGAGUGUAAGCACGAAUCUUCGGGAUUUCUUGAGCACUCCGGAACAAUUGAAUAGCGAGAAAUGAAUGAUUAUGAGGUGCACCGGCACGAGAAAAGCAUUUGAAAUACAGAAAAAAUAUGAUCAACACAGAAAGCUUGAAUUGAAUCCACCGGAGAAGAAAAGAAUUAAGGGUGAUGACCUUGAGGCUCCGUUAAAAUCUUCAUGAGAAUCACCGGAUAAGAACAUUGAACGAAAAAGGAAUGAAGAGGCCUCGCAUCAAUAAGAUGGAUACUCGAUAAGGAAAUCCGAGUCAUUGAAAAACCAAGGGUGGGAGGGUGGGAAAACAAAGGCACCUUGGGAAAGAUGAAACAAACACCGUUGAGAAGAACUGAUAAUUGAUCUUGCGGAUAUUGACGUGAUCGGAUUCACUUGAAGAGAAACACACCGGUGAAAAGGAUUGACAUGACAAUCUCAAUUAUCAUGAAGGAUCUGUAUUCACAUAGAAAUAUGAGAACACCGCUUAGGAAAGGGAUGGAAUCCACAUUUGACUCUGAAGCAACUCGAAUACCACAGCUCAAAACAAAACAAAGGAUUGGCUUGCAGAAUAAGCCAGAACAAAUAUAUGUUAGAGAUUUCGCCCGAAGUUUUCAUGGUGGGGCCUACACGGGCUCAUCGUACAUCACCAUCAUGUACAAGGCAGUGCACAUGACAUACGAAGCGUCCCCGAGUUGGCAUAGCCAAGGACUCUUUAAGACACAACGAGACCACUGUAAAACCAACCGUGGAUAGGCGGACCACUAGACAUCGAACCCCAAUUUCAUAUCAUACAUCUCUCGGAAAGAUAUCCUAAGAGCUACUUGAAUUCCCACUUAUAAACUCCCGAAAUUUUCUAGUUAUGCAAUCAGGUGUUGGGGAUACAGGGGAAGCAUAAUAUCUCACCCAAAACUAGCAAAUCCUACAUCCAGCUGUAUACAUCCUUCAACACAUAACCAAGAAACCUUCGGAAAUCAUUUACCUCAACCUUCGAAAAGCAUCCUUUAUACGAGUUAUGGCAAUACUCCCGAACUCCCGCCCCAGUACUGGGUGGCGUCGAGGUUAUCUCACCAACAACUGUAUAAAAGAGAUUUUCGAUGUCGGCGAAACUAAACUCAGGUAUUCCAGAACUGCAACGAUAAAAUUGUGACGACAACAUCUCGGAGCUCAACUCCCUGGGACACUGCCACAACCCCUAAAUGUCAGGAGGCACUGUCGUGGUUCUAGCUCUGACAGUCAUGUAAGGGGGUAUGUAUGGAGAGGCUAGAUCUCAGCUAUUGGGAAGUUGUAAACACACCAAGAUGUACGAGUUCAGGCCCUUCGCGGAGGAAGUAACAGCCCUACGUCUCGGUGCCCGGAGGCGGUCGAUUGGAUUACUGGCGCGUGAAUAACAGAGGUGCGAACCCUCCAUACUGAGGAGGGGGGUGGCUUAUAUAGAGUUCGCCGGCCCCCUCUUGCCCUCAGUAGUGCAGGGUUUAAGGUACAUUCAAGGUUGGGCGUUACUGGUAAUGCCCCUAAUAAAGUGUGAUAAUGACCAUAAAGACUACUUAAUAGCUGACCGUUUGCCUGCGGAGUGACUACAGGUCUCCUGGCGGUCGAGUGGUUGGCUUCAUGGUCGAGUGAUAGCUUUCUGGUCGAGUGACUUGAAUCCGUCGAGUGGGAUACCUUCAAGUCGAUUGAAAGGUGACUUCUCCUAGGGAUGUCCUAGGGUAGGGCUCCUUGGACAGGUCCGUGCCCCUACCCUAGGUACAUGGCUUCAUCAUUAGCCCCCGAAUGGAUCGAGGUUAGAGUGGGGAAAGAGUUGGAGAUCUUUCCGACUGAUUCUUUGGGCUACGUGAGCGCCUCGUUUUGGGUCAAUCAUCACGGAUGACGUUGCCAACCUUUUUUAGUCGCCUUGAUCCAUUCCAGGCCUUUCGUCGAGUGAAUUUCUUUAUUUGCGACAUACCGAGCGUCGGCGCAGGCGAGGUCUUCCGUUUUGACAAGUUGUUCUGCAGCCCGCGGAUGUCGUGGGAUUUCGGAUUUUGGGAAGCGCGCAGGACGGGAGCGGCCGCAGUAAUCGAAAGCGAUAAAGCGGAAGUUCCUCGAUCCCCGCAUCGCCUUUUUCGCCAUGUACUGCGUGCGCGUCUGCUGCGGGAUUUGACUGGAUAGCCUGGGCCUACCAGUCAGCCACUCGGGAGCGGCCCCUUAUAAAUCGCCGGCUCGGGGUUUCCAAGCAGUGCGCUCUCUUCUCCUCCUUUCUUCUUCCUCUCUCCCUUCGCAAGUCCUUCCGCCACCUCCGUUCUCGCCCCAGCACAGCAGGCCCGUGCGAGACUUCGCCGGCGACGAUGACGAAGGGCAAGACCUCCGCUCUGGAGCGCGUGAAGAAGGCGGCGGCGCAGGGGAAGGGGAAAAGAUCUACUCGGGGCGGAUCCUCCUCAAGGUCCGCUCUGCCCAAGGGCUGGAUCUAGGGCGAUUGGAUGCCGUCAGUGAUCCGGCAAGAGGAUCUCGAUGACAUGGUCGAGGGGGGAGUCAUUCCCCACGAGGUUGCGCGUCUUCCGGGGAGAGAGAUCGAACCUCAACCCCGCGAUGGUGAGUGCGUGCUCCUAGCCACCCACAUCGACCGAGGGUUUUCUCUGCCGCCCCAUCCUUUUUUCCGGAGCUUCUUGAACUUCUUCGGAGCGCAGCUCCACCACUUUACUCCCAACUCCAUUGUAUACCUUGCCGCUUUCAUUUCCAUGUGUGAGGCUUUCUUGGGUUGCCGCCCCCAUUGGGGACUUUUCAAGCACAUCUUUACCUGCCGUUCCCAAUCAGUCAAGAAGGCCAAGUCGAGUGACGAGAGGACACAGGUGAUCUAGUUGUGCGGGGGCUUGGCAAUCCAGACGAGGGGGAAGAGCUGUUUUCCAUCCAUUACUUUCCCGGAGUCGGUCCGUGGCUGGCAGGCGACCUGGUUCUACUGUCAGGACCAGGCGACCCCAGGACAGUCGACUGGUCUCCCUCCUUUCUCACUCGACCGAGCUGAAAAACCUACUUCUCUAAAAGUGGCACUGGAGGAAAGGGCCAAGUCAAAGUGCUGGCUGGUCAAGUGGUUGAGCUUGUCCGUGUGCGCGUGACGGGCAUGGAUUUGCCGGAGGUCUUCCUCCGGAGGCGCAUCCAACCGCUCCAGGCUCGUGACCACCCGAUGUGGCUGUACUCGGGUCUUGACGACACCACUCGGAUCCACCCGGAGGAGGUCACUGAUGAGAUGCUGGAGGGGUGGCUGUCAAGCAUUACAGGAAACAAGGACAACCCUCGAGGAGCCAGGAGGGUAAUUCCACUCGACAACUCGUACGACGUGGACCAGGUAUGUCUCUAUGCUCCUGACUAAGAUCUUGUUUUUCUUCAUUGGUCUUCUUUGAGUUGGUCGAUUGACCUUUGUCUCGCCUGUUGUUUUUCAGGCGACUACUGAGAUGUACUCGACGCCCAAUGGGGCGCAGGGGCCAACUGAGGAAGGGGAGGCGAGCGGAGGUGAGAGCGGGGACGAUCAAGGCGAGUGGGAGUCCGACGGUGAAGGAGAGGGAGGCGACGACGUCGACUCCAGCGAAGAGGAGGAGGAGGAGGUUGAACCCCCCCCCCCCCCGCCCGGAGGGGCGAUCCAAGCUCACACACGAUCCGGCGCGGGAGCGUGGUAGUGCGACUGCUCCUGUUGGGCAGUCGUCGAAACGCCCUCGGACCUCUUCUCCUGCACCGACUGGAAAGGCUCCCAAGCAUUCGCGCGCAGCGCCGUCCAAGCCGCCCAAGGCUCUGCCCAAGAUGAAGAUGGUCGUCCCCACCAUUUCUGGGUAAUAAUAAAACUUGUUUUCCUUUGUCGAUCGUGGACGGAUCCUUGGUCGAUCCAUUGAGCCAACCGACUGACUUUUGAGGCUUGCAGUGCUGCUACUUCUGAGAUCUCCGCCAAGGAUGAUGACCAAGAGAUGGAGGAUGUUGUUACCUCCAACCCUGGUACGAUUACUGACGUUUCCUCUUUGAGUCAACUAAACAUUUAUUGCAACCCUGGUCGAUUGAAUGUUUCCUUUGUAGCCCCUCCUCAUGUUAUCGACCUCCCGGAUGACGAUGACGACGGUCCGUUGAGAGUGAGGAGGCACAAGAGGGCGUCGGCUGACAAGACCCCCCCAAUCCGCUCCAGCGUCCGAGGCCGUGGCUCGGGGUGGUGGUGACACCACUCGGGAUUCUGUGACCUUCGCCGUUCCUCUGGCGAGUGCGCGGCCCUCGUCGUCGACUGCGGAUCCGUCUUUGCUUUUUGCCGCAUACCCCGUCCCUGAGGACCAAGCGGCUGCUGCAAAAGAGGCUAUACGUCAGGCGGGGAUCAUGAUGGAGCAAGUGAAGUUGGCUCGGGAGGCCAGCCAAGCAGCUUAUGAUGCGAGCUCGGCCCUUCAAAGCAACGUCCAGGUCAGUCGACUCAACGUUUGGUCUAUUAUGAUAUGUUGUUUGAAGAAUCUCUUUUCCGAAGAUCUUUGUAUUUGUACACCCACUGGGUGUGUCUGCCAAUUCUUGGACGAGUGGGGGCACACUAAGUGCACCCACUGGGUGUAGUCCCCGAGACUACGGUGGACUGCGGGCAGUCGACUGUAGUCUUUAUAUUGUGUUGCUGUAGUUGUAUUUCUUCAUUCGGUCUGGUCAGGCCAUGUCAAAUGGGACUGUAUCCGGUCGACUGUGGGCAGUCGACAUCUUCUCCUUUUUUUUUACAGUGGGGGCACGCUGAGUGCACCCACUGGGUGUAGUCCCCGAGACUACUGUCGAAUGUUCUUGAUUCGGCUGUAGUCUUAGAAACGUCGUCAUUGUCUCUUGGUUGCUCGGAAGCAACUUGUCUUGGACGUCUGUCGAUUGAUUUUUCUUUUUACAGAAAUCUUGUGAACUUGUAGCUCGCUAUACUGAGUUGGAGAAUCACCAGAUCCAGCUCAACCUUAACUUGAAGCUUGCUCAGGAGAAUUUGAGGAAGGCGCAAGAAGAAGCAAAAGGUAUGGCUGGUGAGGUUCUCCAUUCUUAACGGGUGGCUUUUCUUUCUUGUCCAUUCUUGAUGUUGGUUCCACUCGACGCGCCGCAGAUAAACUGGAGGAAGCUCUGAAUAAGAAGGAUCAAGACCUUGCAGAGGCAUAGAAGGAGGCCUCGAGCAAAACGAAGCUCGCAUAAGAGAAACUGGCUUCGGUCGGAACUCUUGAACAGGAGAACUCCAGACUGAAAACUGCUCUCGAGACAGCUAAUCGAGAUGCCAAUCGACUGAAGAAAGAAAAGAUGGCUCUGCACGACAGGGCGGGUGAGCUAGCGGGGACGGUAAAAGAUCUGGAGGCUUAUCUCAGUGGACUCGCCAAGAAGUUGUUCGUCAUGCUCGAAGGUAAUUAUUCCAACCCGGCUGUCUUGUAGUUGCCGAGCCCGCGUACGGCCACUGCCUUAUUCUUGAAUCGUGUUUGCAGAAUUCUGCCAGAGCUUCGAAGAGGAAACCAGUCGAGUGGAGCCAGGCUUGGAUCCCGCCAAUUCUCUCGUGAAGGACGAGGCUGCUAUGAAAGUGCUCCAACUGGAGUCUCGUGUUACCAGUGUUGUUGAUUAUCUUGCUCGGCUGAAGGUUGCGAUGUCGUGGAUCGACACAUCACUCUGGCCCGGAACGACACUUCAGAACGACCUCGAGUCCCUGAUGGUCCGACUGAAUGAAGUCCCAGGUCAAGUGGCGGAAUGGAAGAAAUCUUCUGCCAGAUGUGGUGCUGAUGUCGCUCUGUCUCUGGUCCGCGUCCAUUGCAAGGAGGCGCGAGAAGAAAAGCUGGCCGCCAUCCAAGUAGCCAAUACCAGGAAGCACAACUUUCAGGACUUCAUGGAGACUUUUAUUGCUACUGCCACUCGUAUUGCAGACGGGAUCGACUUGGACGAGUUCGUCGCCCCUUCCAGUCCUCCUCCUGAGGAAUGAAAAACUUUUAUGCUUCACUUUAAAUUUGCCUCGGAAUGCCGAGUGGAUUUGUAACCAUUAAACUCCGCCGAGCCGAGGGCUCGAGUACUUUGAUCUGAGGUCUAGGACCUUUUAGGCUUUAUCCGAACAUGAUUUCUUGUUGAAUAUCUUCAUGGUUUGAUUCGUCGAGUGGAACUUGAUCUUCACUCGGAAUAACCUUGUAUUUGCAGCGCAGCUCCGAAGGAGAAGGUAGCAGUCGACUCGCGGAUUGGGUUGUGUCCUGUACUUAGGCGAGCGCUGGGCUGCAGCUAAGCCCCCGAGUGGGAGGUUUGCUCUCCACUCGGUAGGAUAUUUUAAACACUUAGGCGAGCACUGGGCUGCAGCUAAGCCCCCGAGUGGGAGUCUGGCUCGCCACUUGGUAGGAUUUCCAAACACUUAGGCGAGCGCUGGGCUGCAGCUAAGCCCCCGAGUGGGAGGUUUGCUCUCCACUCGGUGGGAUUUUUAAACACUUAGGCGAGCGCUGGGCUGCAGCUAAGCCCCCGAGUGGGAGGUUUGCUCUCCACUCGGUGGGAUUUUUAAACACUUAGGCGAGCACUGGGCUGCAGCUAAGCCCCCGAGUGGGAGGUUUGCUCUCCACUCGGUAGGAUUUUUAAACACUUAGGCGAGCACUGGGCUGCAGCUAAGCCCCCGAGUGGGAGGUUUGCUCUCCACUCGGUAGGAUUUUUAAACACUUAGGCAAGCACUGGGCUGCAGCUAAGCCCCCGAGUGGGAGUCUGGCUCGCCACUCGGUAAGAUUUCUAAUCACUUAGGCGAGCGCUGGGCUGCAGCUAAGCCUCCGAGUGGGAGGUUUGCUCUCCACUCGGUAGGAUUUUCAAAUACUUAGGCGAGUGCCUGACUGUAGCUAAGUCUCUAAGUGGGAGAACUUAGGUGAGUACUGGACUGCAGCUAAGCCCCCGAGUGGNNNNNNNNNNNNNNNNNNNNNNNNNNNNNNNNNUCUCCACUCGGUAGGAUUUUUUCAAACUUAGGCGAGUGCCUGACUGCAGCUAAGCCCCCGAGUGGGAGGUUUGCUCUCCACUCGGUGGGAUUUUUAAACACUUAGGCGAGUACUGGACUGCAGCUAAGCCCCCGAGUGGGAGGAUUGCUCUCCACUCAGUAGGAUUUUUUCGAACUUAGGCGAGUGUCUGACUGCAGCUAAGUCUCUAAGUGGGAGAACUUAGGCGAGUACUGGACUGCAGCUAAGCCCCCGAGUGGGAGGAUUGCUCUCCACUCGGUAGGAUUUUUUUCAAACUUAGGCGAAACGGAUUCGCAGCCAAGUCACCCACUGGGGGAUUUCGUAUGCAAACAAGAGUGACAGCAAUUAUUGGGACACUCUUGUCUUUGGUAAAAAUGAACUGCAGAAAUUUUUUCUUAUUACAUCUCGUCCAAGGGAGAACUCAAGUGUAAAAGGGGCGGAGCAGUUCCGCAUUCCAAGCUCGUGGCUCGUCGAUCUGGUGAUUAACAUUGUAGAGGUGAUAUGCUCCAUUGUGGAGGACUCUGGUGACGAUGAAGGGGCCUUCCCAAGUGGGAGCAAGUUUGUGUGGUUUCUGUUGAUCCACUCGGAGGACCAAAUCUCCUUCCUGGAAGGCUCGGCUCUUCACAUUUCUGGCAUGGAAUCGAUGCAAGUCUUGCUGAUAGAUGGUCGAUCUGAUCAUAGCCAUUUCCCUCUCCUCCUCUAGGAGGUCGACUGCGUCUUGUCGGGCUUGCUCUGCUUCGUCUUCGUUAUAAAGCUCGACUCUGGGGGUGUUGUGAAGUAGAUCACUCGGCAGGACGGCUUCGGCUCCGUAAACCAGAAAAAAUGGCGUUCUUCCGGUCGACCGGUUCGGGGUGGUCCUCAGCCCCCACAAAACCGACGGAAGUUCGUCGACCCAAGCGCCUGCUGCGUGCUUGAGAUCACGCAUCAAUCGAGGCUUCAAUCCUUUGUGAAUCAUACCAUUUGCUCUUUCAGCUUGUCCAUUCGACUGAGGAUGCGUGACCGACGCGUAGUCGACUCGUGUGCCUUGAGAGGCGCAAAAAGCUCUGAACUUGUCUGAAUUGAAGUUUGACCCAUUGUCGGUGAUGAUGCUAUGCGGGACCCCAUAUCUGAACAUUAGCCCUCUGACGAAACUGAUAGCAGUGCAAGCAUCGAGAUUCUUGAUAGGCUUGGCUUCAAUCCAUUUGGUGAACUUGUCGACUGCCACAAGCACAUGCGUGAAUCCGUUCCUGCCUGUCCUCAGUGGACCGACCAUGUCCAGUCCCCAGACAGCAAAGGGCCAGACAAGUGGAAUGGUCUUCAGGGCUGAUGCAGGCUUGUGUGACAUGUUGGAGUAGAACUGGCAACCUCCACACUUGUCGACUAUCUCUUUUGCCAUCUCAUUUGCUCUUGGCCAGUAAAACCCUGCUCGGUAUGCUUUAGCCACAAUGGUCCAAGAUGAUGCAUGGUGACCACAGGUCCCCGAGUGGAUAUCAUUAAGGAUCAUCUGACCCUCUUCUGGUGUUAUGCAUUUCUGACCAAUUCCAGUCGCGCUCUCCCUAUACAUCUGUCCCUUUAUGACUGUGAAGGCCUUGGAUCGGCGGACAAUCUGUCGAGCCUCUUCCUCGUCCUCCGGGAGUUCUUUCCUCAAGAUAUACGUGAUGUAUGGUACCGUCCAGUCGGGAGUGAUAGCCAAGACCUCCAUGACUAGGUCGACCACAGCAGGAAUUUCAACUUCAGUCGGAUCUGUGGCACUUUUCGGUUGCGGGGCUUCUUCUGAGAAAGGAUCCUCCUGGACUGACGGCGAGCGGAUGUGCUCCAAAAACACAUUGCUGGGGAUGGCUUCUCUCUUGGAGCCUAUCUUUGCCAGAUCAUCUGCUGCUUGAUUUUUCAGUCGGGGGAUGUGAUGAAGCUCUAACCCCUCGAAUUUCUUUUCUAGCUUUCUUACUGCGUUGCAAUAGCCAGUCAUAGCUGGGCUUCUGACAUCCCACUCCUUCAUCACCUGAUUGACCACCAAAUCUGAGUCGCCGUAGACCAUGAGGCGCCGGACGCCGAGUGAAAUGGCCAUGCGCAACCCGUACAAGAGUGCUUCAUAUUCUACUUCAUUGUUGGAGGAAUCGAAGUGAAUCUGGAGGACAUAUCUGAGCUUAUCUCCUCGGGGGGAGACCAAUACUACCCCAGCACCGGAACCAUUCAGCAUCUUAGAUCCAUCGAAGAACAUGGUCCAGUGCUCCGAGUGAACUUGAGUCAGAAGUUGCUGUUCAAUCCACUCGGCGAUGAAAUCUGCUAUUGCUUGGGAUUUGAUAGCCUUCUUUGCUUCAAACUUGAUAUCUAGGGGAAGGAGUUCAAUCGCCCACUUAGCCACUCGACCAGUUGCAUCUCUGUUGUGCAAGAUCUCUGACAGUGGAGCGUCACUGACGACUGUAAUGGAAUGGUCAGAGAAGUAGUGUGCAACCUUCUUCGUGGUCAUGUAGAUCCCAUAUACAAGCUUCUGGUAAUGGGGAUAUCUUUGCUUCAAAGGGGUCAAAACUUCAGACACAUAAUAGACUAGGCGCUGAACUCUGAAGGCCUUUCCUUCUUCUUCCCGCUCGACCGUGAGUACUGUACUGACAACUUGUCCCGUGGCCGCGAUGUACAGCAGCAGAGGCUCUUUACUGAUUGGGGCAGCAAGCACCGGCUGGGUGGAGAGUAGAGCUUUGAGCUCUGCAAACACUGCGUCAGCUUCUGGAGUCCACUCGAACUUGUCAGACUUCUUCAUCAGUCGGUAAAGAGGCAACGCCUUUUUACCGAGACGAGAAAUGAAUCGACUUAGAGCGGCCAAGCAACCUGUAAGCUUCUGGACAUCGUGUACACGCACAGGGCACUUCAUCCGGAGUAUGGUGCCAACUUUCUCGGGAUUGGCGUCGAUUCCUCGUUCGGAAACGAGAAAACCGAGUAACUUUCCACCUGGAACUCCGAAUGUGCACUUUGAUGGAUUGAGCUUGAUAUCAUAUCUCCUGAGGUUAGCAAAGGUUUCGGCAAGGUCAGUCAGUAGGUCGGAACCUUUCCGUGACUUAACCACAAUAUCAUCUAUGUAUGCUUCUACGUUCCGACUGAUCUGAGUGAGCAAACACUUCUAAAUCAUCCUCAUGAACGUGGCUCCAGCAUUCUUGAGGCCGAAGGGCAUGGUGACAUAACAGAAGCACCCAAAUGGGGUGAUGAAAGCCGUUUUGAUCUCGUCGGGUCCAUACAGACGGAUCUGAUGGUACCCUGAAUAAGCAUUUAGAAAAGACAAACGCUCACACCCCGCGGUCGAGUCCACUACCUGGUCGAUGCGGGGGAGAGGAAAUGAUCUUUCGGGCAGGCCCGAUUGAUGUGUUUAAAGUCAAUGCACAUGCGAAGUGACUUGUCCUUCUUGGGGACCAUGACAACAUUGGCGAGCCACUCGGAGUGGUAAAUCUCUCGGAUGAACUCUACUGCUAAGAGCCGAGCCACCUCCUCGCCAAUAGCUUUCCUCUUCUGGACGGCGGACCGUCGAAGAUGUUCUUUCACGGGCUUGAACUUCUGGUCGACUCGUAGACGGUGCUCAGCCAGCCCCCUGGGAACUCCAGGCAUGUCAGAAGGCUUCCAUGCGAAGACGUCCCAGUUCUCACGGAGGAACUGGAUGAGCGCUUCUUCCUAUUUGGAGUCGAGCAUCGUUGAGAUGUGAGUCGGAGCAGCGUUGGGGUCAGUCGGGUGAAUGUGAGCUGUCUUAGUUUCACCGGACGGCCGAAAAGAAGAUUCUGGAGCAGGCUUCUUGGCUCGUAGCAAUUCACUCAGGUCAGCAGUCUUCUGGUACUCUUGUAGCUCAACAACUGCCAUCUGAGCGUCAGCAAUCUUCGAUCCUUUUUUAAAACACUCCUCUGCUUUCUUCUGAUUGCCGAUAACGGUGAUCACACCUCUGGGGCCGGGCAUCUUCAACUUGAGAUACACGUAGCACAGUCGAGCCAUGAAGCGUGCAUAAGCUAGCCGGCCCAGAAUAGCAUGAUAAGCACUUUGGAAGUCCACAACCUCAAACGUCAACUUUUCCUUGCGGUAAUUCUUUGAAUCACCGAAAACCAUGUCGAGAGCAAUCUGGCCGAGUGACUCGGCUUUCUUUCCAGGAAUGACUCCAUGGAAGCUCAUGUUGCUGGCGCUGAUCCUGGACAUCGGAAUGCCCAUCCCUUUCAAUGUUUCAGUAUACAAUAUGUUCAGGCCACUGCCACCAUCCAUCAGGACUUUGGUCAGUCGUCUGCCUUUGACAACUGGGUCGACCACCAAAGCUUGCCUCCCAGGGGUGGCAAUGUGCAUAGGGUGAUCGGACUGGUCGAAUGUGAUGGCAGUUUGGGACCACUUCAGAUAACUGGGUGUUGCCGGAGCAACCAUAUUCACCUCACGGUUAAUGACUUUCAGUCGACUCUUGCUUUCGACAUCAGCAAAAAUCAUCAGGGUGGAAUUGAUUUGGGGGUAUCCAUCGUCGCUAUCCUCUUUGUCCUCAACUCUGUCCGACUCUUUUUUCUUAUCUUUGGGUUGUUUGCCCUGAAACUGCUGGAUCAGGAGCCGGCACUGUCGAGUGGUAUGCUUUGGGUAAAUAAAAUUACCCUCUUCAUCUUUCUUGGUGUGGAUGUGACAUGGCAGAUCCAAAACAUCAUUUCCAUCUUGAUCCUUGACUUUCUUGGGCUUCCAGGGGCCUUUGGGUUUUCCCUUGAAAUUUCCCUGGGUUAUGGCCAGGGCCUCCCCAGGGGCGGCUGGCUCGGCCUUCCGCUUCUGCUUCCGACUGGAAUUGCCUCCGGUUUCCUAGGCGACUGCUUUCUGCUUGCCACUCCGGAGUCGAUCUUCAUCUUCUCCGUUAGCGUAUUUGGUGGAAAUCUCCAUCAUCCGAUUCAGGGACAUUUCUCCGGUCCGACCGAACUUCAGGUUCAACUCUCUGUUCUUGACGCCUUCUUUAAAGGCACAAACUGCUUGGUGAUCCGGUACGUUCUCAACCGUGUGAUGCAAAGUGAUCCACCUCUAGAUGUAAUCCCUCAGAGUUUCACUCGGCUUCUGUACGCAAGACCGUAAUUCUGUAAGGCCUGCGGGUCACUUGCAUGUUCCCUCAAAGGUUGUGACAAACACUCGAGAGAGAUCCUCCCAAGUGUAGAUGCUGCUGGGUGCUAACUGAUUCAGCCACGCUCUGUCCGAGCCCUCUAACAGGAGAGGCAAAUGCUUCAUGGCCACCUCAUCAUUGCCACCGCCAAUCUGUACAGCCACUCGGUAAUCUUCGAGCCAAGUGUCAGGCUUAGACUCACCGGUGAACUUGCUGACUCCAGUCACCAACCGAAAGUUGGGAGGAAUCACUGCGGCCCUGAUGGCUCGACUGAAACACUCUGGCCCUGAAACACGUACUCUGCUGCUGGCGGGCGCAUCCCUAUUCUGGCCUUCCCGAUGAGCCCUGUUCCUGUCAACCAAACCUUGAAUGAGGACAGAUCUCGCGUCAAAGCCUGGGUCCCUGGGGUCGACUGGAAUCCUCUGCCCAACACUAUGAGGGCGUCUGUCAUCUCGAUGUCGAGGCGCAUAUGACCCACUCCUCGGGGGAGGGGUUGGCACUCGACGUCGAUAAUCACGAUCAGAUCGGUGAUCAUACUGCUCAUUCCUCCUGUACUGAUCAUGCCGGUCACCACGUCCCUCACGCCUCGGGGGCGACCUCGGGCUGUGAGCCGACUGGACUAUAUCUGUUGCAACGGAUCGGCUGUGGAUCAUAUUCCGCGACUAAGAAACAAUGGAAUUCUGGUUUCCCGCCGACCAGAGCAACACUCUAAUCUGUAACAAGCCCCUGCCCGCCUCCGACUGGGAGGGCUGAAUCGAUUCUGCUAUACGGGCCGCGGUGGCCAAAUUCUGAACUGGGGUUCGGUAUACCUGCGUCGGUGGGAAGAGCUGGCGUCGACUAGACUCGGGAGCCCGCUGACGCGCUUGCUCGUCGAGUGCUCGCUGGAGAUUCUCCAGUCGAGUGCGCUCGGCCAAAUUAGCCAAGCGCACGUCCUCCAAGGCCCGGGCCUCGGGGGUCUAUCCGACGAUAGGAGUGCGGAGUGCGUCCAUGUUCCGGUGGCGAAGCUCCUCUCGCUGUAAUGAUGUGAGAGAUUCGGGGAGGUACUCAUCAUGGGGAUGCGACGGGUCGCCCCCACCCGCGCCUCCAUCAGCGCGAGGGAAACCGGGAGGACUAUGCGUUCCAUCGACCGCCAGAAUCUCAGCCGCUGGGUCGCUGCUGUCGCACUCGGAUGCGGUUUCCGUGGAGCCAGUCGACAGGUCGAACAGACCGCAGAGAGAUUCGUCGGGCUCGAUUGCCGCGACUUGCAGGGCGGCCGAAUGGCGAGCCAUGGCAUGCCUCACCCACCUCUGAAGUCUCGACUGACCGGAGCGCUUGCGCCGGUGGGAGACAGAGCGGGGAGACGAUACGGGGGCCGACCGAUACUGGGUCGACGGCUGCCGCAGGAGGACGCCACGAACGCAUGCGCGGAAAUGCGUCGCGCCAUGGACGGGGAGCGCGUCGAUGUCGAGUGGCGCCUCCUGAAGCCAGGCCGAGUCGUCGGCGAUGAACGUGAGCGCGCUGAGGCGGAUCUCGCGGCCCUCCACCAAAACUCCGCACGAAACCAUGAUCAAAGGGAUCGGAAAAAUUGCAACUUCUCCAAUCAGGCGCUAAGAUUCCUGCCCCGCGGUGGGCGCCAACUGUCGUGGUUCUAGCUCUGACAGUGAUGUAAGGGGUAUGUAUGGAGAGGCUAGAUCUCAGCUAUUGGGAAGUUGUAAACACACCAAGAUGUACGAGUUCAGGCCCUUCGCGGAGGAAGUAACAGCCCUACCAAAUGUCGUGGUUCUAGCUCUGACAGUGAUGUAAGGGGUUAUGUAUGGAGAGGCUAGAUCUCAGCUAUUGGGAAGUUGUAAACACACCAAGAUGUACGAGUUCAGGCCCUUCGCGGAGGAAGUAACAGCCCUACGUCUCGGUGCCCGGAGGCGGUCGAUUGGAUUACUGGCGUGUGAAUAACAGAGGUGCGAACCCUCCGUACUGAGGAGGGGGGUGGCUUAUAUAGAGUUCGCCGGCCCCCUCUUGCCCUCAGUAGUGCAGGGUUUAAGGUACAUUCAAGGUUGGGCGUUACUGGUAACGCCCCUAAUAAAGUGUGAUAAUGACCAUAAAGACUACUUAACAGCUGACCGUUUGCCUGCGGAGUGACUACAGGUCUCCUAGCGGUCGAGUGGUUGGCUUCAUGGUCGAGUGAUAGCUUUCUGGUCGAGUGACUUGAAUCCGUCGAGUGGGAUACCUUCAAGUCGAUUGAAAGGUGACUUCUCCUAGGGAUGUCCUAGGGUAGGGCUCCUUGGACAGGUCCGUGCCCCUACCCUAGGUACAUGGCUUCAUCAGGCACCAAGAACAAUGUUCUCGUCACAAAACCAUCGGAACAAUUCCAAGAUACCCGUGUGAUCCUAAAUUUUUUUUCGUGAAAUUUGAGAAGAGAAAAGUCAAAACUCUACGUCAGGAUGCCUUACCAGAGCGAUGAAGGGACUGGGGAGUAAAAAGAAGUCCUAACUCUUCGAUAUAUAAUUCCUAAAUGACUCAAAACAUUUUUCUAGACUCAACUCGUCCGCUAAUUCGAUCAAGCAGUGGGGGCUCCUAAGGUCGGGGUAUGCUCUGAUUACCAACUUGUAACGCCCUCGAUGCAGCUAUAUCUCCCACGUGUCGAAGCACGACUUAGAGGCAUAACCGCAUUGAAAGCAAUGUCGCAAGUGAGGUAAUCUUCGCAAACAACCCAUGUAAUACAUAAGGGAAAGAGAUACAUAGCUGGCUUACAAACGCCACUUCACACAAUACAUGAAUAAAGCAUUACAUCAUCCAAAUACAAUCAAGGUCCGACUACGGAACCAAAAUAAAAGAAGACUACCCCAAAAGCUACACAGAUCCCCGAUCGACCCCAACUGGGCUCCACUACUGAUCAACUAGAACGAAACAACACAAAGUACAAGAUCUUCAUCGAGCUACUUUUGAGCUUGGUUGCGUCACCUGCUCGGUCUCAUCGGCACCUGCAAGCUGGUUUUGGAAGUAUCUGUGAGUCACGGGGACUCAGCAAUCUCACACCCUCGCAAUCAAGACUAUUUAAGCUUAUAGGAAGGGUAAAAGGUAUGAGGUGGAGCUGCAGCAAGCGACUAGCAUAUAUGGUGGCUAACAUACGCAAAAGAGAGCGAGAAGAGGAGGCAAAAGCAUGGUCGAGAAACUAUGAUCAAGAAGUGAUCCUAGAACAACCUACGUCAAGCAUAACUCCAACACUGUGUUCACUUCCCGGACUCCACCCAGAAGAGACCGUCACGGUUACACACACGGUUGAUGUAUUUUAAUUAAGGUCAACUUCAGGUUUUCUACAACCGGACGUUAAUAAAUUCCCAUCUGCCCAUAACUGCGGGCACGGCUUUCGAAAGUUCAAAUCCCUACAGGGGAGUCCCAACUUAGCCCAUGACAAGCUCUCACGGUUAACGAAGGAUAUUCCUUCUAGCGGGAAGACCCGAUCAGACUCGGAAUCCCGGUUACAAGACAUUUCGACAAUGGUAAAACAAGACCAGCAAAGCCGCCCGAUACGCCGACAAAUCCCGAUAGGAGCUGCACAUAUCUCGUUCUCAGGGCGCACCGGAUAGGUUAAGCUACGAGUAAAACCAACCCUCGAGUUGCCCCGAGGUGGCCCCGCAGGCUGCCCGUUUCGGACCAACACUCAGAGGAGCACUGGCCCGGGGGGGUUAAAAUAAAGAUGACCCUUGAGUCCACGAAACCCAAGGGAAAAGAGGCUAGGUGGCGAAUGGUAAAACCAAUGUUGGGCAUUGCUGGAGGAGUUUUAUUCAAGGCAAACUGUCAAGGGGUUCCCAUUAUCACCCAACCGCGUAAGGAACGCAAAAUUCGGGAACAUAACACCGAUAUGACAGAAACUAGGGCGGCAAGAGUGGAACAAAACACCAGGCAUAAGGCCGAGCCUUCCACCCUUUACCAAGUAUAUAGAUGCAUUAAUUAAAUAAGAGAUAUUGUGAUAUCCCAACAAAAUAUCCAUGUUCCAAACAUGGAACAAGCUUCAAUCUUCACCUGCAACUAACAACGCUAUAAGAGGGGCUGCGCAAAGCGGUAACAUAGUCAAACAACGGUUUGCUAGGACAAGGUGGGUUAGAGGCUUGGUUCAACAUAUGGGAGGCAUGAUAAGCAAGUGGUAGGCAUUGCAGCAUAGGCAUAGCAAAAGAGCGAGCAACUAGCAAGCAAAGAUGGAAGUGAUUUCGAGGGUAUGGUCAUCUUACGUGAAAUCCCGCAAGGAAGAAGAAGAGUCCAUGAAGAAGACAAACGAAUGUAGCCAACGGAUCCUCACAAACGCAACGUUACCGGAUUACCAAGAAGAAGUAUACCGGAAAGAAAGCAAACAACAUAGUAAACAACCAC
rnacentral:lncRNA from 1 species